CAAAUACUCCCUCCGUCCGGAAAUACUUGUCGGAGAAAUGGAUAAAAAUGGAUGUAUCUAGAACUAAAAUACGCUAGAUACAUCCAUUUCUCCGACAAGUAUUUUCGGACGGAGGGAGUAUUAG
rfam:Triticum aestivum genome assembly, contig: Triticum_aestivum_CS42_TGACv1_scaffold_621573_7DS